AUUGAACGCUGGCGGCAGGCCUAACACAUGCAAGUCGAACGGUAACAGGAAGCAGCUUGCUGCUUUGCUGACGAGUGGCGGACGGGUGAGUAAUGUCUGGGAAACUGCCUGAUUGAGGGGGAUAACUACUGGAAACGGUAGCUAAUACCGCAUAACGUCGCAAGACCAAAGAGGGGGACCUUCGGGCCCCUUGCCAUCGGAUGUGCCCAGAUGGGAUUAGCUAGUAGGUGGGGUAACGGCUCACCUAGGCGACGAUCCCUAGCUGGUCUGAGAGGAUGACCAGCCACACUGGAACUGAGACACGGUCCAGACUCCUACGGGAGGCAGCAGUGGGGAAUAUUGCACGAUGGGCGCAAGCCUGAUGCAGCCAUGCCGCGUGUAUGAAGAAGGCCUUCGGGUUGUAAAGUACUUUCAGCGGGGAGGAAGGGAGUAAAGUUAAUACCUUGGCGUAUUGACGUUACCCGAAGAAGAAGCACCGGCUAACUCCGUG
rnacentral:rRNA from 1 species